rfam:Sorghum bicolor cultivar BTx623 chromosome 3, whole genome shotgun sequence.
GUAGUCGGAUUCGCAUCAAUUCAUAUGUGUUGGGGUGGAUUGGAGUAGAUCUUGAACUAAAUUCCACCCCCAAUCCACUCUAACACAUAUGGAUUGAGAUAAAUCCAACA